rnacentral:rRNA from 1 species
UACGAGGGGGGCGAGCGUUGUUCGGAAUCACUGGGCGUAAAGAGGGCGUAGGCGGUUAUGAAAGUUAGGAGUGAAAGCCCAGGGCUUAACCUUGGAAUUGCUUUUAAAACUACAUAACUCGAAUUCGAGAGAGGAUAGCGGAAUUCUCAGUGUAGCAGUGAAAUGCGUAGAUAUUGAGAGGAACACCAGUGGCGUAAGCGGCUAUCUGGACCGACAUUGACGCUGAGGCACGAAAGCGUGGGGAUCAAACAGG